rnacentral:rRNA from 1 species
UACGUAGGGCGCAAGCGUUGUCCGGAAUUAUUGGGCGUAAAGAGCUCGUAGGCGGCUUGUCACGUCGGGUGUGAAAGCCCGGGGCUUAACCCCGGGUCGGCAUUCGAUACGGGCUGGCUAGAGUGUGGUAGGGGAGAUCGGAAUUCCUGGUGUAGCGGUGAAAUGCGCAGAUAUCAGGAGGAACACCGGUGGCGAAGGCGGAUCUCUGGGCCAUUACUGACGCUGAGGAGCGAAAGCGUGGGGAGCGAACAGG